CUUCCCUCCUAAUCAAAUCAACAAUUGAGUUGGAACUGGGGAAAAAUGAAAAAGGAGAGCAAAAAAAUCAACCUUCCAGACCCUACUCACUGCAUCCUGGGCCAUCACCAGUUGUUCGGACCUAUGUCUUACCAUUGGACUAUGAUGGUAGAGGGAUUGAUGGUUUGGAACAGCUCUGCCUUACUUAAAUCCAAUUUAUUUGCAAGUUAAGAUAUCACCCUCUUGAUUUCAUUGGUGAGGAUGAAGGAAGAAUGAAGGACAAACAACAAGAGGCACAGACGUCCACCUGUAGCAGUUCUCUUCUGCAUUCCUUUCGGACAGGACAUACAUAGCAUUCGUCUUGGAUGGUGGACUAUUGACUUCAUGGCAAUUCAGACAAUCAUACUUGAAAUAAAAAUUCAAAAUAAUAUCAAAUUACAAUCCCAAGAGAUUUUACCUUAAAUAACAAUUUCAUUAAUUGUAGCUUAAGGUUAUGAUAUUAUUUUUCUCAUGUUGUAAUAACAGACAACAAUGAGGAC
rnacentral:lncRNA from 1 species